CUACGGGCCGCAGCAGUGAGGAAUAUUGCACAAUGGGGGGAACCCUGAUGCAGCAACGCCGCGUGGAGGAUGACGCAUUUCGGUGUGUAAACUCCUUUUAUAUGUCAAGAAAAUGACGGUAGCAUAUGAAUAAGCACCGGCUAACUCCGUGCCAGCAGCCGCGGUAAUACGGAGGGUGCAAGCGUUACUCGGAAUCACUGGGCGUAGGACGCGUAGGCGGGUUGGAAAGUCAGGUGUGAAAUCCUACAGCUUAACUGUAGAACUGCACUUGAAACUUCUAAUCUAGAGUAUGGGAGGGGGAGAUGGAAUUAGUGGUGUAGGGGUAAAAUCCGUAGAUAUCACUAGGAAUACCUAAAGCGAAGGCGAUCUCCUGGAACAUUACUGACGCUAAGGCGUGAAAGCGUGGGGAGCAAACAGGAUUAGAUACCCUUGUAGUC
rnacentral:rRNA from 1 species